AUUGAACGCUGGCGGCAGGCUUAACACAUGCAAGUCGAGCGAGCGGCGGCCGUGUUAGUAAUUUCUCGGAAACUGCCUGAUGGAGGGGGAUAACUACUGGAACCGGUAGCUAAUACCUCAUCCCCUCAGAUUUUCCCAGAUGGGCUUAGCUAGUGGGUGGGGUAAUGGCUCACCUAGGCGACGAUCCCUAGCUGGUCUGAGAGGAUGACCAGCCACACUUGAACUGGGACACGGUCCAGACUCCUACGGGCGGCAGCAGUGGGGAAUAUUGCACAAUGGGCGCAAUCCUGAUGCAGCCAUGCCGCGUGUGUGAAGAAGGCCUUCGGGUUGUAAAGCACUUUCAGUCGGGAGGCGUUAACGAAAGAAGAAGCAACGGCUAACUCCGUGCCAGCAGCCGCGGUAAUUG
rnacentral:rRNA from 1 species